rnacentral:lncRNA from 1 species
AUUCUAAUGUCAUGUUUUUUGUUUUUGUUUUUUUUAUAAAAUAACCAAGGGACUAGGAUUAUGUUUUUCCUCCUUUUUUCUUUCUAUCUCUUAAAAUCAGGUAUGAUAGGAGUCAGGGAUUACAGAGUAUGACAAUGUAAAAAAAUUAAUAUUUUUGUAGACUCCUAAAGAAUAAAAAAACAUUGAAUAUGCUUUUAAAAUGUAAUUAUCUUCUCAGUAGUUAUGAGGCUUAUUCUGCAUGUAUACCAGCAUGGGAUAAAGGAGUACUUUUUAAUGAUAAAGAGCUUAAAAGUCUAAGUAUAGACCUAGGUUUACCAAGAUUCAGAAAGAAGAAAGCAUCAAGAAGAAACAAGAAAAUGUGAAACAGACUCAUAAUCAAAGUCCAUCCGUUUAGCUCCCAGCACCUAUAGUGUAAUUUGCUAGCAUUUCUGAGCCACAGAUUUCUCAUCUGUUAUCAAAAGGUGAUAGGCAGUACAUUAGAUACACCUAAGAAAGUCUUCAUAAUAGCAUUGAUCUGAAACCCUGGUUUAAGUGUUGGACUGCCAUAUAUUCUGAACUUUUCCUUCGUGUUCUCUUCUAGGGGGCUUUGUUCAAUGAGUGGUAGGGAAGGGUAAGGGGGAAAUUUGAUACUGUUUUAAGUGCUGCUAAAGAAGAAAGUUGUAGAGAAGUAUCACAAAGGAAGAACGGAGAAUGUGUCUACCAUCUUGAUUCCAUUGAAGGCCGCCAUACAGGCCAUAGCCAAUGCUUGCCCUGAGUGGUUUAAAUAAUUUCAUAAAGGAUUUUAUACUCAAUGAAUUGAGGGCAAAGCAAUCACACUGGAACAAAAAUGUGCCAAUUUUUCCAAUAUGCAAAUUGUAAUGAUCGGUAAUUCAUAAAACUACUUUGAGAGCAAUUGAAUAUUUUAGUAUUGUAAUUUGCACUAUGAUAUUACGAUGUUCAGGCAAACUAAAAUACUCUGAAAUCUAAUGCCAAAUGUACAGUUCAUAGGUUCAUGGUACUUCGUAUAAGUGUUUCAUUGCAUUGCGACAGUUGUUUAAUAGCAUUAACUUUCCCUGGGUGUGUUGUUAUGAUGCAGAUCUAACAGGGUUAUUGUAAGCACACUAAUUAGUCAUCUGGGGUUUUAUAGAUAAAAUCAUACAUUGAUCAGAAAUCACUUUUCUACUUAUUUUUUUGUAGAGUAUUUUUCCACACUUGAAAAAACAUGAUUAUUUUAUAUCAAACAUCAGUUUUCCUUUAAAAUCUUAUUUUAGUAGCCAAUGCAUGUUUGAAAUAAGAUGUUAAAUAUUAUGUGCCAAUAGUAAGAUUGUGUUUGUAAGUGAAAAAUGCAUGCUAUAAUGAAUCAUACAGCUUUGGUGGCAUAUUCUACUGCCACCUUAUAUGCAAGCUUUCUCUUAACCUGUGUGCAUGGUCCACAUGCUUUCAAGAGUCCUUUUUUAAUAUUUACAAAGUGACAUGUGAUUUUUAGUGCUGAUGAGCCAGUGAGCCAAGAUGCAAUCCUGUUCUGCUUUCAUUUUUCUUCUUUACAUUAUGUUGUAAAUUUUCUCAGAAAACUUUUUCUUGGAGUUGUUGGCAAUAAACUACAACAAAUGAAAGAAUUGGCUGGUAAAUCUUACAGACAACUUACCGUUACAAAGCAUGAAGAUGUGAGAAGAUCAUUUUACAAGCUUCAUUAUAUGAACACAAUACUCUGGCAUCUUUUUUGUGUAGUUAAGAAGAGCUUAUCGUUUCUGAAACACUGCCAAAGUCAGUACUACUGCCAAAAGGGAGGGACACCUGCAUUACACUAAACUGAAUAAUAACAGACUAUCCAGACUGUAUAGACUGCCAAUCAGUACAGUAAAGUGGGAGGGAUAUACCCACUCUUUUGUUUCUUAUUAAUUAGAGAAAUGUAUAAGGAAUAUGAAUUUUGGCAACAGAGACAUGGCUUUACAUGCUGAUAACUCAUGGAAAUAUUUGAAAUAAAACUCAUUCCAUUCUUGAAAAAAAUAUGCCCAGGCAUUUUGUUUGUUUCAGAAAUGUACUUGUGUUUUUGAAAGCUCUAAUUUCAAACAAGUAAUAUAUGUAGACCAACUGUUCCUUCUACAAAUAAUGUCAUUUAUUGUAACACAUAAUGGGUAGAACAUAGCUUUCAGUCAGUUAUUCGAAUCACCAGUAUAAAUAUUCAUAAUGUUUGAAGGUGAUUUCACUGUGAGGUUAUGAAAGCAAUGGAAACCCUAGUUAUUUGUUUGGGUUUUUAUGUGUCUAUUUAUAGAAAAAUGCUUCUUUUAAGUCUAAUUUUAACAACAUCAACUAAGUUAAUCUAAUGCUAAGAAAAUUGACUCUACUUACUAUUUCAAGUCACAGUCCUGAAACUGAGUCUUGCUGCAAUCCAAAAAUAAAACAUUGAUUCAAACGAAGAGCAGCCUACUCUGCCAUGGAAAGGGCAGCUACAGCAGUCAUGAUAUCAUAGAUGUGAGCAGGGUAAAGAAUUCCUACACCAUCCAUGACAUUGUAGGUGUGUGAAAGGACUACACCAUUCAUGAUACUGUAGGUGUGUAACACUCAGCCAAUAUUUGAUCUGGGCUCUCAGUUUCAUAUUGCAUGCAUCCCUUCAUUUAAUUAACUUGUAAAUAACAACACUUCGUGGCAGCUAAGCAAAUAUUUUAAUAAGCCAUGAAAGACAAGAUAUAAGAACUCUGUACUUUCAGGUAUUUAGAAAAAAAAAAUGUACUUGCCAUAAGUUAAAGCAGAGUUGCCAUUUGAAAUUUCCUUCCCUUAAAAAUAUGCUGUAACACCAUGUGUUCAUUGUUGUCUUUUCAGCCUUAUAAAUAUAUGAUGUGACUACUACAUCUUUGUGAAAUUUUGUUUAACAAUUAAUGGUUUUAACAAUCUGAACAACAAUUCAAGGCAGAAGUAAAUGCAUAAGGAAUUUGAGCCUGUUUGUAAGAAGUCUACUCCUUAUGUUAUAUUUACUAUAUUCAAUGUAAAUACCUCACUGAUAAAACACUGGAGCUAGUGAAUGUGUAAAUAAUUAUGUUCUAUUUGGGCCUAAUGCAUUCCUGUAAUGUGAAUAUUUAAAAUAAAAGAAUUCAAUUUAAAUGC